UACGGAGGGGGCUAGCGUUGUUCGGAAUUAUUGGGCGUAAAGGGCGCGUAGGUGGUCUUGUAAGUUAAAAGUGAAAUUCCGGGGCUCAACCCCGGCGCUGCUUUUAAUACUGCAAGACUAGAGAUCGAAAGAGGAUAGUGGAAUUCCUAGUGUAGAGGUAAAAUUCGUAGAUAUUAGGAGGAACACCGGUGGCGAAGGCGACUAUCUGGGUCGAUACUGACACUGAGGCGCGAAAGCGUGGGGAGCAAACAGG
rnacentral:rRNA from 1 species